AACGAACGCUGGCGGCAUGCCUAACACAUGCAAGUCGAACGAGACCUUCGGGUCUAGUGGCGCACGGGUGCGUAACGCGUGGGAACCUGCCCUUAGGUUCGGAAUAACUCCCCGAAAGGGGUGCUAAUACCGGAUAAUGUCUUCGGACCAAAGAUUAAUCGCCUAUGGAUGGGCCCGCGUUGGAUUAGCUAGUUGUUAGGGUAAAAGCCUACCAAGGCGACGAGGGAUAGCUGGUCUGAGAGGAUGAUCAGCCACACUGGGACUGAGACACGGCCCAGACCCCUACGGGAGGCAGCAGCGGGGAAGAGGGUACAAGGGGCGGGGGCAUGAGGCAGAAAAGCAGUGUGCGGGACGACGACCUUCGCGUUGGAAACAUAUUUUACCAGGGAAGAAGCGAAAGUGACGGUACCGGCAGAAAAAGCACCGGCUAACUACGUG
rnacentral:rRNA from 1 species